rnacentral:rRNA from 1 species
GCCUAGAGGGCUAAAUACCCUAAUGGCACCAAGUCCUGUCUGAUCUUGGAAGCUAAGCAGGUCAGUCCUGGUUAGUACUUGGAUAGGAGAUCACCAGUGAAUACUGGAUAGUGUAGGCU